CCCAGGAUCCUCCUGCAAACUGCAGAGCUCUUCUCUCCCCGCCUCUCAGCUGAUUGGCUGGUGGGCGGGGCUUCCAGGGAGGCCUCUCCCUGAAGCCUGAACUGGGCAGGCCUCAAGCAAGCAAGGAAGCAGGCAGAGCUCCCUGCAGCAGACCAGACCAUCCAGCACAGCUUUUGCAAGUCAGUUCCAAGAUGGAAUAAACCCCAGGGCAGGGUCCACUUUAAGUGACCUGCUCCCAUCUCUCCUAGAGUUGUUCCUAUCACAUCGAACAGCUGCUGUGACAACUAUAUAAGGAGGCAACUUCCAAUGUGGUUCCUGAAAUCCUUUGAAUACACUGGUGAACAUUGUCCCAAGCGAGGUGUUAUGCCCCUGGUCUUUUUCAGAUUAUAGGUCCUCCCUAGGAAGGCCUGUGGGAUUCUGGAAUCGGUGCAAGGCCAUACAUAUUUCAAAGCACCGACAUGUCGGAGGUUUCACAGGGGAGUCCGAUGAGGCUGAGGAGGGAAGAACCGCCUGUUUCAACACAGAUUUACUACGAAGAAUGAUAAGCGGUUCUGUGCUGAUCCCAGGCUUAAAAGGGUCAAGGGGAGAAUCCAUUCCUUCUUAGAAAACUAACCGUGUCCUGUUUCCGCCUCCUGUACCCCCAGAAGCGAAGAGAAAUGUUCAACCUGGAGCUACCAGCUUGUGGAGGAAAGGAGGAAGUUAUACAAGGUUGAAAGCUAGGCUAUCCAUCUUCAAAGGGGACGCCCGCCUGAUUUUUUAUUUUUUAUUAUUUUGAAUAACCACAUGUACAAUUUGCUUGUUCAUUUAUUCUUUGCAUCAUAAAAUAAAUAAAACAGAAGCACUU